UCCAAAUCAAACUUAAAUCACACAAUACACUUUAACAUCUAAGCGUAAAAUUGUCAUCGAAAAUAAUCUUCCGGGGCGGGCUGUGACAAUCUCCCCACCUUAUAAAAUUUCGUCCUCGAAAUUACAUACAACCAAUACAUCCACUAAUAAUCAUAAAACAAGCGUGGAUUGAUGCAAAAAUUAACUUAACACACAAAUUAAACCCUCUUUUGACAAUUGUAGUAUAUGUAUAAGUAGGGAUCGUUCUAAGCCGGGGAUUAUAAGGGAUUGCUAAUUGAUUCUAAACUGACUUAAAGACACAAAAACAAACUUAAAAACAAUAGGAUAGAUUCAAAAGACUCAAAACUAGUUCACAAGACUCAAAAUAAGAUAAAAAUACUCAAAACUGCCUAAAAACACCAAC
rnacentral:lncRNA from 1 species